rnacentral:rRNA from 1 species
AUUGAACGCUGGCGGCAUGCUUUACACAUGCAAGUCGAACGGUAACAGGCCGCAAGGUGCUGACGAGUGGCGAACGGGUGAGUAAUGCAUCGGAACGUGCCCAGUCGUGGGGGAUAACUACUCGCAAGAGUAGCUAAUACCUCAUACGAUCUAUGGAUGAAAUCGGGGGACCGCAAGGCCUCGCGCGCUUGUAGCUGCCGAUGUCAGAUUAGGUAGUUGGUGGGGUAAAGGCUCACUAAGCCAACGAUCUGUAGCUGGUCUGAGAGGACAACCAGCCACACUGGGACUGAGACACGGCCCAGACUCCUACGGGAGGCAGCAGUGGGGAAUUUUGGACAAUGGGCGCAAGCCCGAUCCAGCAAUGCCGCGUGCAGGAAGAAGGCCUUCGGGUUGUAAACUGCUUUUGUACGGAACGAAACGGCUCUGGUUAAUACCCGGGGCUAAUGACGGUACCGGAAGAAUAAGCACCGGCUAACUACGUG